UGUUCUGUGGCUUAGCUUGUUAAAGCGCCGGACUAGUGAUACGAAGUCGUGGGUUCGAAUCCCAUCAAAGCGA
rnacentral:tRNA from 1 species